UACGAAGGGGGCUAGCGUUGCUCGGAAUCACUGGGCGUAAAGCGCACGUAGGCGGCCUCUUAAGUCGGGGGUGAAAUCCUGGAGCUCAACUCCAGAACUGCCUUCGAUACUGGGAGUCUUGAGUUCGGGAGAGGUGAGUGGAACUGCGAGUGUAGAGGUGAAAUUCGUAGAUAUUCGCAAGAACACCAGUGGCGAAGGCGGCUCACUGGCCCGGUACUGACGCUGAGGUGCGAAAGCGUGGGGAGCAAACAGG
rnacentral:rRNA from 1 species